UACGAAGGGGGCUAGCGUUGCUCGGAUUUACUGGGCGUAAAGGGCGCGUAGGCGGACAGUUAAGUUGGGGGUGAAAGCCCGGGGCUCAACCUCGGAAUUGCCUUCAAUACUGGCUGUCUUGAGUGUGAGAGAGGUGUGUGGAACUGCGAGUGUAGAGGUGAAAUUCGUAGAUAUUCGGAAGAACACCAGUGGCGAAGGCGACACACUGGCUCGAUACUGACGCUGAGGCGCGAAAGCGUGGGGAGCAAACAGG
rnacentral:rRNA from 1 species